UUCAACAAACUAGCUUUAAACAUAUUACCAAGGUUCCUGUCUUUUGUGUUACAAACAGAGACUCACUGAAACAAGAUAUGAUAAUUGGGCAAUAAAUGUUUAGAAAAUUGAUUAUAUAAAACAAUAGUAGUAACAUAAAAAGUAAAAUUGAUCAUCAUUUCCUCUAAAUACAUAAAAAGUAAAAUUGAUCUGCAGCAACAUCACCUCUGAUCUGCAGCAACAUCACCUUACCCUUCUUCAUCAACCCUAAAUCGUUUCAACCUUCAGACUCUCACAGUCACGAAACCACUUUCGAAAUAUCAACUAAUAUACCAACACUUCACUGUCAAAUCUUCAAAACGACAUUGUAUAUAGGGCUUCUCAUGGAUACGCAACCACGUGACGAUCUGUAGCAUGCACCGUCACAUUGCGCAGUUUUUGUGAGAUUCUACCGAACACAAAUAAAACAUUUGUCCAAAUCUCUCCAAGCCUGCUUUAGCUCUUGAAAGGAGUUUAUUAGUUAAAUCUUCAUUGACAAUUUCUGCACUGAUCUAUAUCCACGGGAACCAGUACAAGAGUUUGAUGCCAUAGA
rnacentral:lncRNA from 1 species